AGCUCCAAUAGCGUAUAUUAAAGUUGUUGCAGUUAAAUAGCUCGUAGUUGAAUUUUGGGCCGGGUCUGGCGGUCGGACCUCUGGUUUGCACUGUCGGCCUGGCCUUUCUUUCUGGGGAACUUGCAUGCACUUCACUGUGUGUGCAAGGGAUCCAGGACUUUUACUUUGAAAAAAUUAGAGUGUUUAAAGCGGGCAUUUGCUUGAAUACAUUAGCAUGGAAUAAUAGAAUAGGACUUUGGUUCUAAUUUGUUGGUUUCUAGGACCGAAGUAAUGAUUAAUAGGGAUAGUUGGGGGCAUUAGUAUUUAAUUGUCAGAGGUGAAAUUCUUGGAUUUAUGAAAGACUAACUUCUGCGAAAGCAUUUGCCAAGGAUGUUUUCA
rnacentral:rRNA from 1 species